rnacentral:rRNA from 1 species
UACAGAGGUCUCAAGCGUUGUUCGGAUUCAUUGGGCGUAAAGGGUGCGUAGGCGGCGCGGUAAGUCGGGUGUGAAAUCUCGGAGCUUAACUCCGAAACUGCAUUCGAUACUGCCGUGCUUGAGGACUGGAGAGGAGACUGGAAUUUACGGUGUAGCGGUGAAAUGCGUAGAUAUCGAUAAGGAAGACCAGUGGCGAAGGCGGGUCUCUGGACAGUUCCUGACGCUGAGGCACGAAGGUCAGGGGAGCAAACGGG